UACGUAGGGUGCGAGCGUUAAUCGGAAUUACUGGGCGUAAAGCGUGCGCAGGCGGUUUGUUAAGUCCGCUGUGAAAGCCCCGGGCUCAACCUGGGAAUGGCGGUGGAAACUGGCGAGCUAGAGUGUGGCAGAGGGGGGUGGAAUUCCACGUGUAGCAGUGAAAUGCGUAGAGAUGUGGAGGAACACCGAUGGCGAAGGCAGCCCCCUGGGCUAACACUGACGCUCAGGCACGAAAGCGUGGGGAGCAAACAGG
rnacentral:rRNA from 1 species